GUAGGGGGUGGGAGAGGGGAGGAAAAGAGAGCAAAUAGGAGGAAUGUAGAGAAAAAGAAUUACGAAAGAAAAGAAACGCAAAAGAACAGUAAUGCAGAGAAAAAGAGAUACAGGGUCCAGCCGGCCCCAACAGCCCGCACCGAACGCCAGGGAGCGAAUGGCUCAGCCCCGCCCUCCCCGCGGUUUAAAUCCCCCACGGCCCCGCCCCGCGCAGCCGCGCUGGGGCCCCGCGCACCUGCGCGCGCCCCUCUGCUGGCCCCGCCCCCCCGCCCGUAAAUGGCGGCGGAUCCGCGCCCGCCCCGCGUCCUGCGGGGGAUGCUCGGCCCGGGCUGCGGCGGGACCGGCGCUCGGAGCGCCGUGCGGAGAUCCGUAUCGGGGCUGCUCCCGGCGCUGCGCGGCGUCCGAGGCCCUCAGGGACACUAAAUGCCAAGCAAUAGGCCUCAGAAAUGCCUUCAAAUCAGAGGUUCCAGUGGGAUGA
rnacentral:lncRNA from 1 species